rnacentral:rRNA from 1 species
CCCUUAGAUGUCCUGGGCCGCGCGCGCGCUACACUGAUGCAUGCAACGAGUUUAUAACCUUGGCCUGAAAGGUCUGGGUAAUCUUUUGAACGUGCAUCGUGAUAGGGAUAGAUUAUUGCAAUUGUUAAUCUUGAACGAGGAAUUCCUAGUAAACGCGAGUCAUCAGCUCGCAUUGAUUACGUCCCUGCCCUUUGUACACACCGCCCGUCGCACCUACCGAUUGAAUGGUUCGGUGAAGAUCUCGGACUUCGAUAUUUAUUCUUUAUUGAGUUUAUAUUGUGGGAAGUUAUCUAAACCUCAUCAUUUAGAGGAAGGUGAAGUCGUAACA